rnacentral:tRNA from 1 species
GAGGGUAUAGCUUAGUGGUAGAGUGUGUGCCUAGCAUGUACUGAGGUCCUGGGUUCAAUUCCUAGUACUGACA